UACGAAGGGGGCGAGCGUUGUUCGGAUUUACUGGGCGUAAAGGGCGCGCAGGCGGCGCGGGAAGUCAGGCGUGAAAGCCCCGGGCUCAACCUGGGAACGGCGCCUGGGACUCUCGUGCUAGAGAUCGGGAGAGGAGCGUGGAAUUCCCAGUGUAGAGGUGAAAUUCGUAGAUAUUGGGAAGAACACCGGUGGCGAAGGCGGCGCUCUGGACCGAGACUGACGCUGAGGCGCGAAAGCGUGGGGAGCAAAC
rnacentral:rRNA from 1 species